GGAAGGGGUGUAUUUAUUAGAUAAAAAACCAAUGCCCUUCGGGGCUCUUUGGUGAUUCAUGAUAACUUAACGGAUCGCAUGGCCUUGCGCCGGCGACGGUUCAUUCAAAUUUCUGCCCUAUCAACUUUCGAUGGUAAGGUAUUGGCUUACCAUGGUUUCAACGGGUAACGGGGAAUUAGGGUUCGAUUCCGGAGAGGGAGCCUGAGAAACGGCUACCACAUCCAAGGAAGGCAGCAGGCGCGCAAAUUACCCAAUCCCGACACGGGGAGGUAGUGACAAUAAAUACUGAUACAGGGCUCUUUUGGGUCUUGUAAUCGGAAUGAGUACAAUUUAAACCCCUUAACGAGGAACAAUUGGAGGGCAAGUCUGGUGCCAGCAGCCGCGGUAAUUCCAGCUCCAAUAGCGUAUAUUAAAGUUGUUGCAGUUAAAAAGCUCGUANUUGAACCUUGGGCCUGGCUGGCCGGUCCGCCUCACCGCGUGUACUGGGUCCGGCCGGGCCUUUCCUUCUGGAGAGCCGCAUGCCCUUCACUGGGUGUGUCGGGGAACCAGGACUUUUACUUUGAAAAAAUUA
rnacentral:rRNA from 1 species